AGAGUUUGAUCCUGGCUCAGGAUGAACGCUAGCGGCAGGCUUAACACAUGCAAGCCGAGGGGUAACGAUGGCUUCGGCCAGGCGACGACCGGCGCACGGGUGAGUAACGCGUAUGCAACCUACCCUUAACUGGGGCAUAGCCCGGAGAAAUCCGGAUUAAUACCCCAUAAUAUUUACCGGGGGCAUCCCUGGUUUUUUUAAAGCUUCGGCGGUUAAGGAUGGACAUGCGUGCCAUUAGCUUGUUGGUAGGGUAACGGCCUACCAAGGCGAUGAUGGCUAGGGGGUCUAAAAGGAUGGUCCCCCACACUGGUACUGAGACACGGACCAGACUCCUACGGGAGGCAGCAGUGAGGAAUAUUGGUCAAUGGGUGAGAGCCUGAACCAGCCAUGCCGCGUGCAGGAUGACGGCCCUAUGGGUUGUAAACUGCUUUUAUACAGGAAGAACUUCCCCGACGUGUCGGGGCAUGACGGUACUGUAUGAAUAAGCAUCAGCUAACUCCGUGCCAGCAGCCGCGGUAAUACGGAGGAUGCAAGCGUUAUCCGGAUUUAUUAGGUUUAAAGGGUGCGUAGGCUGAACGGUAAGUCAGUGGUGAAAUCCUCCCGCUCAACGGGAGAACUGCCAUUGAUACUGUCGUUCUUGAGUGCAGCCGAGGUAAGCGGAAUGUGUAAUGUAGCGGUGAAAUGCUUAGAUAUUACACAGAACACCGAUUGCGUAGGCAGCUUACCAGACUGUAACUGACGCUGAGGCACGAAAGCGUGGGGAGCGAACAGGAUUAGAUACCCUGGUAGUCCACGCUGUAAACGAUGAUCACUCGCUGUGUGCAAUAUAUAGUACGUGGCUGAGCGAAAGCAUUAAGUGAUCCACCUGGGGAGUACGUUCGCAAGAAUGAAACUCAAAGGAAUUGACGGGGGCCCGCACAAGCGGUGGAACAUGUGGUUUAAUUCGAUGAUACGCGAGGAACCUUACCUGGACUUAAAUGCAGGACGACUAUCCGUGAAAACGGAUUUCCCUUCGGGGCGCACUGCAAGGUGCUGCAUGGCUGUCGUCAGCUCGUGCCGUGAGGUGUCGGGUUAAGUCCCAUAACGAGCGCAACCCCUAUUCUUAGUUGCCAGCGGUUUAUGCCGGGGACUCUAAGGAGACUGCCACCGUAAGGUGAGAGGAAGGUGGGGAUGACGUCAAGUCAGCACGGCCCUUACGUCCAGGGCUACACACGUGUUACAAUGGCCGGUACAGAGGGCAGCUACAUGGUGACAUGAUGCAAAUCUCGAAAACCGGUCCCAGUUCGGAUUGAAGUCUGCAACCCGACUUCAUGAAGUUGGAAUCGCUAGUAAUCGCGCAUCAGCAACGGCGCGGUGAAUACGUUCCCGGGCCUUGUACACACCGCCCGUCAAGCCAUGGGAGCCGGGGGUACCUGAAGUCCGUAACCGAAAGGAUCGGCCUAGGGUAAAACUGGUGACUGGGGCUAAGUCGGAACAAGGUA
rnacentral:rRNA from 1 species